AUUGAACGCUGGCGGCAUGCCUUACACAUGCAAGUCGAACGGCAGCGGACCUUCGGGUGCCGGCGAGUGGCGAACGGGUGAGUAAUAUAUCGGAACGUACCUUUCAGUGGGGGAUAACGUAGCGAAAGUUACGCUAAUACCGCAUAUUCUGUGAGCAGGAAAGCAGGGGAUCGCAAGACCUUGCGCUGAUUGAGCGGCCGAUAUCAGAUUAGCUAGUUGGUGAGGUAAAGGCUCGCCAAGGCGACGAUCUGUAGCGGGUCUGAGAGGAUGAUCCGCCACACUGGAACUGAGACACGGUCCAGGCUCCUACGGGAGGCAGCAGUGGGGAAUUUUGGACAAUGGGCGCAAGCCUGAUCCAGCCAUGCCGCGUGAGUGAAGAAGGCCUUGGUUGUAACCCGUUUACUACUGAGGAAGAUAAAGUAGGUAACCGACUUA
rnacentral:rRNA from 1 species